GAAAUAUUGCAACGCAUUGCAAUGACAUGGAGCAUUUACAGCCAAACAAAAGACAAAGAAAGUUAAGGUGCCUCAGGAGCAACAGCCGGCGAGGGUAGUGGUGCUCAAGGGAUGGUGGAGCUGGAACCACAGGAGCCUGUGGUGGAUUUGGUGCAAGAAUGGCCUGAGGAAUUGCUGCCGGUAGCUGUGGCUGUAGAUCCUGUUAAACCUGAGGGAUCUCAAGAAGAAAAAAGGUCUUUUCCAGCAACUGUUACCUGAUAUUCUUUAAUGGGAAAUGUCUUGGACUGAAUGUGGGUCUUUCUGCGUGCAAAACAGGUGCUGUACCAAUGAACAAAAGCCCCUCGUAGAGGAAAUUUUCCAAGGAAAUCUGUGGGAUCUCAUGUUCUUCAAAUAACCCAUGUGCACACAGAAAAAUCUUGGCACUAAAAUGAAGAGGAUAUAUUCUUAAAAUACUGAAGCCUCCAGAUCCAAUUGUGAUGUUAAAAAAGUAAAGGAAGUUAUAAGGAAGAUGCUGUUACACUUGAUUGAAUUUUCCUCUUUGUAAAUUAAAGUACAGCUGCUUUGGGAGGAGAUGUU